AACGUAGGAGGCGAGCGUUAUCCGGAUUUACUGGGCGUAAAGGGUGUGCAGGCGGGCCGUUAAGUGGUGCAUGAAAGUGAAGGGCUCAACCCUUCGAGGCUGUGCCAGACUGGCGGUCUAGAGUGCGAGAGAGGGCUGUGGAAUUCCGGGUGUAGUGGUGAAAUGCGUAGAGAUCCGGAGGAACACCAGAGGCGAAGGCGGCAGCCUGGCUCGCAACUGACGCUGAGACACGACAGCAUGGGGAGCGAACGGG
rnacentral:rRNA from 1 species